CCAUGCCGUAAACGAUGAUUACUAAGCGUCGGGGGUCGAACCUCGGCACUCAAGCUAACGCGAUAAGUAAUCCGCCUGGGGAGUACGUACGCAAGUAUGAAACUCAAAGGAAUUGACGGGGACCCGCACAAGUGGUGGAGCAUGUGGUUUAAUUCGACGCAACGCGAGGAACCUUACCAGCGUUUGACAUCCUAAGAAAGUGAAAGAGAUUUCGCUGUGCUCCUUCGGGAGAACUUAGAGACAGGUGGUGCAUGGCUGU
rnacentral:rRNA from 1 species